rnacentral:rRNA from 1 species
AGCUUGCUUCUCUGAUGUUAGCGGCGGACGGGUGAGUAACACGUGGAUAACCUACCUAUAAGACUGGGAUAACUUCGGGAAACCGGAGCUAAUACCGGAUAAUAUUUUGAACCGCAUGGUUCAAAAGUGAAAGACGGUCUUGCUGUCACUUAUAGAUGGAUCCGCGCUGCAUUAGCUAGUUGGUAAGGUAACGGCUUACCAAGGCAACGAUGCAUAGCCGACCUGAGAGGGUGAUCGGCCACACUGGAACUGAGACACGGUCCAGACUCCUACGGGAGGCAGCAGUAGGGAAUCUUCCGCAAUGGGCGAAAGCCUGACGGAGCAACGCCGCGUGAGUGAUGAAGGUCUUCGGAUCGUAAAACUCUGUUAUUAGGGAAGAACAUAUGUGUAAGUAACUGUGCACAUCUUGACGGUACCUAAUCAGAAAGCCACGGCUAACUACGUGCCAGCAGCCGCGGUAAUACGUAGGUGGCAAGCGUUAUCCGGAAUUAUUGGGCGUAAAGCGCGCGUAGGCGGUUUUUUAAGUCUGAUGUGAAAGCCCACGGCUCAACCGUGGAGGGUCAUUGGAAACUGGAAAACUUGAGUGCAGAAGAGGAAAGUGGAAUUCCAUGUGUAGCGGUGAAAUGCGCAGAGAUAUGGAGGAACACCAGUGGCGAAGGCGACUUUCUGGUCUGUAACUGACGCUGAUGUGCGAAAGCGUGGGGAUCAAACAGGAUUAGAUACCCUGGUAGUCCACGCCGUAAACGAUGAGUGCUAAGUGUUAGGGGGUUUCCGCCCCUUAGUGCUGCAGCUAACGCAUUAAGCACUCCGCCUGGGGAGUACGACCGCAAGGUUGAAACUCAAAGGAAUUGACGGGGACCCGCACAAGCGGUGGAGCAUGUGGUUUAAUUCGAAGCAACGCGAAGAACCUUACCAAAUCUUGACAUCCUUUGACAACUCUAGAGAUAGAGCCUUCCCCUUCGGGGGACAAAGUGACAGGUGGUGCAUGGUUGUCGUCAGCUCGUGUCGUGAGAUGUUGGGUUAAGUCCCGCAACGAGCGCAACCCUUAAGCUUAGUUGCCAUCAUUAAGUUGGGCACUCUAAGUUGACUGCCGGUGACAAACCGGAGGAAGGUGGGGAUGACGUCAAAUCAUCAUGCCCCUUAUGAUUUGGGCUACACACGUGCUACAAUGGACAAUACAAAGGGCAGCGAAACCGCGAGGUCAAGCAAAUCCCAUAAAGUUGUUCUCAGUUCGGAUUGUAGUCUGCAACUCGACUACAUGAAGCUGGAAUCGCUAGUAAUCGUAGAUCAGCAUGCUACGGUGAAUACGUUCCCGGGUCUUGUACACACCGCCCGUCACACCACGAGAGUUUGUAACACCCGAAGCCGGUGGAGUAACCUUUUAGGAGCUAGCCGUCGAA